rnacentral:rRNA from 1 species
GUGAACGCUGGCGGUAGGCCUAACACCUGCAAGUCGAACGGCAGCACCGUAAGAGCUUGCUCUUACGGGUGGCGAGUGGCGGACGGGUGAGGAAUACAUCGGAAUCUACUUUUUCGUGGGGGAUAACGUGGGGAAACUUUCGCUAAUACCGCAUACGACCUACGGGUGAAAGCAGGGGAUCUUCGGACCUUGCGCGAUUGAAUGAGCCGAUGUCGGAUUAGCUAGUUGGCGGGGUAAAGGCCCACCAAGGCGACGAUCCGUAGCUGGUCUGAGAGGAUGAUCAGCCACACUGGAACUAAGACACGGUCCAGACUCCUACGGGAGGCAGCAGUGGGGAAUAUUGGACAAUGGGCGCAAGCCUGAUCCAGCCAUACCGCGUGGGUGAAGAAGGCCUUCGGGUUGUAAAGCCCUUUUGUUGGGAAAGAAAAGCAGCAGGUUAAUACCCCGCUGUUCUGACGGUACCCAAAGAAUAAGCACCGGCUAACUUCGUG